rnacentral:rRNA from 1 species
AUGACUAUAGUGGACAGAGGUGGGGGCGGAAAUGAACUGACUCAGAAUGUGGACAGGAUAGGAGAUGUCAGGACGCGUAACAGCAAGAUAGACAAGACUGCCAACAAGGUGACGAUAGCGAGUGGGAUUAGGAAGAGGGUCACCAUCAGAGGCAUGAAGCUGAAUGUUGAGCUCCAUGGGAGUGACAACAGUGCGCUCAUCACCGAGAGCAGCGCGAGCAAGAAGAUCCUGAAUUUAUUUUUCUUGGGAGAUGUAGAAGCCAUCAGAGGUCGAGGAGAUCUCAAUCCCAAGAAAAUAGCGAAGUGGACCAAGAUCAGUCAUGAGAAACUGGUCGCGAAGACGAGCCUUAACAAAGGCAAUGUAAUCAGAGUCGUCACCAGUGAUGAUCAUGUCAUCAACAUAGAGAAGGAGAAGAGUCCGACCACGAGGAGACGUGUGAACAAACAACGCUGGAUCAUGAUUACUGGCAAGAAACCAGCGGCAGUCACCACGGAGGCAAAACGCUCAAACCAGGCGCGAGGGGCCUGUUUGAGACCAUAUAGGGAGCGGCAAAGUCUACAGACCAUACCAUCAGGAGCAUAG